AGCUGUCCGCAUUCACGGAGUUCAUUUAGUUCAAUAUCGGACACAGGAUCAGCUCGCUGGGUUAUCGAUGUCAUCAUCGUUCACAAAGGCAAACCUGUCUAUACAAAGUCCGGUUUUUGGAUU